CUCUAAGCCGUUUUCCUUCCUGAGGAGCCUUUGGCUGUUUGGCUGGAUGCUUCAAUUUAACAAGGAGGAGUUGCAGUCUGUUUAACCAGGUAAAGCUUUCUGUUGCUUUGGAAACCACAAUAUCACAUUUCUUACUCUCCUUGGCAAAAAGCUGGAGUUUUUAGUGCUGUAAGACUUUUUUCUAAGAAACUCAAACACACCUUAAAAAAUGUAAAAAUUACUGGAAUACUAGCAGGGCUUUCUUAGUCAUGAAAAACUGAAGCAAUGCCCUGAAAGAUAUAGGGGGCUUUCAGGAAUACAUUAAGCUUGCCGGCAUGCCAGCCCUGAGAAAAACGUUAACAAUUAUAAUUUUUUAGUCAUUCAAGGUAUAGAAGACACUACAGAGAACAAAACUGGUAAAUUCCCCUCUCCCCUUCUGGUGGGGAAAGCAAAUUAAUAACUCAAAUACACAGCAUUUCAUAUAAAUGCCAUAAAUAAAAGUAAACUAGGAGUAGAGGAAAGUAUGUGCACGGUUUUUGCUUUGUUUUCUUUCAUCUACAGGGCUCACCGAGAAACUGGCCCAUGAACAAAGACCUGAGCAGGAGAAAGCACACAUGGAUAUGAGGAGCACUCAGGAAGAGGGAAAACAAUCCCAAAAACCCGAGAUGGAGAGAGGCCAGCGUGGUUGGAGACGUGAACUCUGUCUGGGAGGUGAGAAUUUGACCGAAUAUUGAUCUGAAGCACUUCGAUGUCUUAGAGGAAGCUGAGUCAAGUUAGUUUUGUAAGAAUCAAGACCUUCAUGUUCCGACUGCCCAGUGUCAGUCCCUGGGACACAGGGCUCAGCGUGAUGGGAGUGCCAGCAGCAGCUGAGUGCUCGUGCCCUGCAGGAUGGAGAUCCACUCCGACAAAGCCUCCAGACCCCCCCACAUUCCACACCACAGAACUCUCUCAAAAAACUUCAGAGAAGCAGGAACAACAACUUGGUAUUCAAUGAAAAUACCUCACAAAUAAAUAUCUGCAAACACUUUGUAAAGUCAGAGUUUUCUGCAAGCAGCCGCCUUGGUUGUGAUUCUUCGCUGGGUCCUCCAGGAGUCUGUGCAGUGGAAAGAGCACCGGCUUUGCAGUCAGGCAAUUUUUGCUCUUUUGUCUAUUAGCCACGAGAGCUGGAGAAAAUAAUUCCCAUGGGAUACAGUUUCUUCAUUUAUUAAAUAUGAACAAUUAUAGCUACCUAGCAAGGCUGUCAGGAGAAUCACAGCGUACAUGGAUCUGUAGUAAGUACUCAACAGAUGUUUGUUUCGUUUCCCUAAAUAGUAUGCUUUUUAUUGUUUUUAAAUUAAAGGGAACUGAAGCUGAUUAGGACAUAAGUGAGAAAGAUGUUCUUUAUAGGAGCUGACUCAGACAAAUCUUGAAUAUAAAUAUAUACAUAUGAAUAUAUAUAUGUAUAUACA
rnacentral:lncRNA from 1 species